rnacentral:rRNA from 1 species
GACGUAGGGCGCGAGCGUUGUCCGGAUUUAUUGGGCGUAAAGAGCUCGUAGGCGGCUUGUUGCGUCAGCUGUGAAAACCCGCAGCUCAACUGUGGGCUUGCAGCUGAUACGGGCAGGCCUGAGUUCGGUAGGGGAGACUGGAAUUCCUGGUGUAGCGGUGAAAUGCGCAGAUAUCAGGAGGAACACCGGUGGCGAAGGCGGGUCUCUGGGCCGAUACUGACGCUGAGGAGCGAAAGCGUGGGGAGCGAACAGG